rnacentral:rRNA from 1 species
CAGGCUUAACACAUGCAAGUCGAGGGGAAACGACAUCGAAAGCUUGCUUUUGAUGGGCGUCGACCGGCGCACGGGUGAGUAACGCGUAUCCAACCUGCCCACCACUUGGGGAUAACCUUGCGAAAGUAAGACUAAUACCCAAUGAUAUCUCUAGAAGACAUCUGAAAGAGAUUAAAGAUUUAUCGGUGAUGGAUGGGGAUGCGUCUGAUUAGCUUGUUGGCGGGGUAACGGCCCACCAAGGCGACGAUCAGUAGGGGUUCUGAGAGGAAGGUCCCCCACAUUGGAACUGAGACACGGUCCAAACUCCUACGGGAGGCAGCAGUGAGGAAUAUUGGUCAAUGGGCGAGAGCCUGAACCAGCCAAGUAGCGUGCAGGAUGACGGCCCUAUGGGUUGUAAACUGCUUUUAUAAGGGAAUAAAGUGAGUCUCGUGAGACUUUUUGCAUGUACCUUAUGAAUAAGGACCGGCUAAUUCCGUGCCAGCAGCCGCGGUAAUACGGAAGGUCCGGGCGUUAUCCGGAUUUAUUGGGUUUAAAGGGAGCGUAGGCCGGAGAUUAAGCGUGUUGUGAAAUGUAGAUGCUCAACAUCUGAACUGCAGCGCGAACUGGUUUCCUUGAGUACGCACAAAGUGGGCGGAAUUCGUGGUGUAGCGGUGAAAUGCUUAGAUAUCACGAAGAACUCCGAUUGCGAAGGCAGCUCACUGGAGCGCAACUGACGCUGAAGCUCGAAAGUGCGGGUAUCGAACAGGAUUAGAUACCCUGGUAGUCCGCACGGUAAACGAUGGAUGCCCGCUGUUGGUCUGAAUAGGUCAGCGGCCAAGCGAAAGCAUUAAGCAUCCCACCUGGGGAGUACGCCGGCAACGGUGAAACUCAAAGGAAUUG